rnacentral:lncRNA from 1 species
UUGCUUGUAAGCGCGCGUGCUGAUCCAGCCGCCCGUCUUCUUGUUUUCGAAACCCACUUCAUUAGAGAUUGAGUUUGAAACCUUCAUUUACAUCUGGUAAUUUAGUACUUGUUCUACUUGUUCUUGCUGGUUCUUCGAUUGCUUGCAGGACGAGUGCCCUAGUGGCCGGGUGUUGCGCUCCACAAGAUCGUGACAGCCAUUGGAGGCGGUGUAUCGGUUGCUAAGGCGCAGUCUUGAGGGCUGUAGUCGGGCCGUGAACGUCAUCUCCAUUCACUAAUCGAGUUAUCUAGCGCCUCUCAUCGAAAGAUCAGGCGAAAACCCUAGUGGGUUCACAUCAGUUGGUAAUCAGAGCAAGGUUUAUCGGUGAGAGAUUUCCAAUUCUUCGUGUUUGUUUUUCCUAUAGUCCAAAAAAAAGACAAAAAAAUAUAGCAGAUUUGUUUUCCAUAAUCCUAUAAAUCCUUUGUGCCGUGGCUAGUACUACUUAGUUAGGGCUGGUUGAAUGAGUGUUUGCUUCGGUCGUGUCCAGUGCUGGUUUUAGUUUAGUCCUUUAGAGUUUUGAGUUCUUGUCACCAUCUAGUCACAACUGCGUCAAAUCUAUUGUGGGUUGGAAUUUGAGUAGAUCUUGAUAAUAGGUGCAGCCACUUGUUUGUCUAUUCUGCGUUUCCA